UACGAAGGGUGCUAGCGUUGUUCGGAAUUAUUGGGCGUAAAGCGUGCGUAGGCGGUCUGGUAAGUCGACUGUGAAAGCCCAGGGCUUAACCUUGGAAUUGCAGUCGAAACUACUAAACUAGAGUAUGGCGGGGGAUAGUGGAAUUCUUAGUGUAGGGGUGAAAUCCGUAGAUAUUAAGAGGAACACCAGUGGCGAAGGCGACUAUCUACACCAUGACUGACGCUGAGGUACGAAAGCGUGGGGAGCAAACAGG
rnacentral:rRNA from 1 species